GCUCUGACGACUCUCUGAGGGAGCCUUGUCCGUCAGGCUCAGUGCGUUUUGGUUCAGGCGCCCGUUAGUGGCGGAAGAGGCCACGCGGAGUCUCCUCCCUGUGUCACCCAGGCUGGAAUGCAGUGAUGUCAUCUCGGUUCACUCAGCUUCCACAUCCUGGGCUCAAGUGAUCCUCCCGCCUCGGCCUCCCAGAGGUCUGGGAUCACAGGCGGAGCCACCACAUCGGUCCAGCCGUUGCGGUUCGUGCCAGGUGGUCGGUCGGCUGGCCAUCACGGUGCCCUUGUCACCUGUGUCUCCAAGCCCUACACACCAUGAAGGUCACUUCACCCAGGCCUCGGUGUCGCCAUGGACAGCUUUCAGAAAGAGGAAACAGCCUGGAUGUGGUGGCUCACACCCAUAGCCUCAGCACUUUGUGAGGCCAAGGUGGGAAGAUCACUUGAGGUCAGGG